CCUACGGGGCGCUGCAGUGGGGAAUAUUGGACAAUGGGCGAAAGCCUGAUCCAGCCAUGCCGCGUGUGUGAAGAAGGCCUUCGGGUUGUAAAGCACUUUCAGUGGGGAAGAAAGCCUUGGGGCUAAUACCCUCGAGGAAGGACAUCACCCACAGAAGAAGCACCGGCUAACUCCGUGCCAGCAGCCGCGGUAAUACGGAGGGUGCGAGCGUUAAUCGGAAUUACUGGGCGUAAAGCGCGCGUAGGCGGUCUGAUAAGCCGGUUGUGAAAGCCCCGGGCUCAACCUGGGAACGGCAUCCGGAACUGUCAGGCUAGAGUGCAGGCGAGGAAGGUAGAAUUCCCGGUGUAGCGGUGAAAUGCGUAGAGAUCGGGAGGAAUACCAGUGGCGAAGGCGGCCUUCUGGACUGACACUGACGCUGAGGUGCGAAAGCGUGGGUAGCAAACAGGAUUAGAUACCCGUGUAGUC
rnacentral:rRNA from 1 species